rnacentral:rRNA from 1 species
UUCCUACGGGAGGCAGCAGUGAGGAAUAUUGGUCAAUGGACGCAAGUCUGAACCAGCCAUGCCGCGUGCAGGAGGACGGCUCUAUGAAUUGUAAACUGCUUUUGUACGAGGGUAAACGCAGAUACGUGUAUCUGUCCGAAAGUAUCGUACGAAUAAGGAUCGGCUAACUCCGUGCCAGCAGCCGCGGUAAUACGGAGGAUUCAAGCGUUAUCCGGAUUUAUUGGGUUUAAAGGGUGCGCAGGCGGUCGGAUAAGUUAGAGGUGAAAUCACGAGGCUCAACUUCGGAAUUGCCUGUGAUCCUGUUU